rnacentral:rRNA from 1 species
CGCAUUAGCUAGUUGGUGGGGUAACGGCCUACCAAGGCGACGAUGCGUAGCCGACCUGAGAGGGUGAUCGGCCACAUUGGGACUGAGACACGGCCCAGACUCCUACGGGAGGCAGCAGUGGGGAAUAUUGCACAAUGGGGGAAACCCUGAUGCAGCAACGCCGCGUGAGUGAUGAAGGUUUUCGGAUCGUAAAGCUCUGUCUUUGGGGAAGAUAAUGACGGUACCCAAGGAGGAAGCCACGGCUAACUACGUGCCAGCAGCCGCGGUAAUACGUAGGUGGCGAGCGUUAUCCGGAUUUACUGGGCGUAAAGGGAGCGUAGGCGGAUGAUUAAGUGGGAUGUGAAAUACCCGGGCUCAACUUGGGUGCUGCAUUCCAAACUGGUUAUCUAGAGUGCAGGAGAGGAGAGUGGAAUUCCUAGUGUAGCGGUGAAAUGCGUAGAGAUUAGGAAGAACAC